UUGAACGCUGGCGGCAGGCCUAACACAUGCAAGUCGAACGGUAACAGGAAGCAGCUUGCUGCUUUGCUGACGAGUGGCGGACGGGUGAGUAAUGUCUGGGAAACUGCCUGAUGGAGGGGGAUAACUACUGGAAACGGUAGCUAAUACCGCAUAACGUCGCAAGACCAAAGAGGGGGACCUUCGGGCCUCUUGCCAUCAGAUGUGCCCAGAUGGGAUUAGCUUGUUGGUGGGGUAACGGCUCACCAAGGCGACGAUCCCUAGCUGGUCUGAGAGGAUGACCAGCCACACUGGAACUGAGACACGGUCCAGACUCCUACGGGAGGCAGCAGUGGGGAAUAUUGCACAAUGGGCGCAAGCCUGAUGCAGCCAUGCCGCGUGUAUGAAGAAGGCCUUCGGGUUGUAAAGUACUUUCAGCGGGGAGGAAGGUGUUGUGGUUAAUAACCGCAGCAAUUGACGUUACCCGCAGAAGAAGCACCGGCUAACUCCGUGCCAGCAGCCGCGGUAAUACGGAGGGUGCAAGCGUUAAUCGGAAUUACUGGGCGUAAAGCGCACGCAGGCGGUCUGUUAAGUCAGAUGUGAAAUCCCCGGGCUCAACCUGGGAACUGCAUCUGAUACUGGCAGGCUUGAGUCUCGUAGAGGGGGGUAGAAUUCCAGGUGUAGCGGUGAAAUGCGUAGAGAUCUGGAGGAAUACCGGUGGCGAAGGCGGCCCCCUGGACGAAGACUGACGCUCAGGUGCGAAAGCGUGGGGAGCAAACAGGAUUAGAUACCCUGGUAGUCCACGCCGUAAACGAUGUCGACUUGGAGGUUGUGCCCUUGAGGCGUGGCUUCCGGAGCUAACGCGUUAAGUCGACCGCCUGGGGAGUACGGCCGCAAGGUUAAAACUCAAAUGAAUUGACGGGGGCCCGCACAAGCGGUGGAGCAUGUGGUUUAAUUCGAUGCAACGCGAAGAACCUUACCUGGUCUUGACAUCCACGGAAGUUUUCAGAGAUGAGAAUGUGCCUUCGGGAACCGUGAGACAGGUGCUGCAUGGCUGUCGUCAGCUCGUGUUGUGAAAUGUUGGGUUAAGUCCCGCAACGAGCGCAACCCUUAUCCUUUGUUGCCAGCGGUCCGGCCGGGAACUCAAAGGAGACUGCCAGUGAUAAACUGGAGGAAGGUGGGGAUGACGUCAAGUCAUCAUGGCCCUUACGACCAGGGCUACACACGUGCUACAAUGGCAUAUACAAAGAGAAGCGACCUCGCGAGAGCAAGCGGACCUCAUAAAGUAUGUCGUAGUCCGGAUUGGAGUCUGCAACUCGACUCCAUGAAGUCGGAAUCGCUAGUAAUCGUGGAUCAGAAUGCCACGGUGAAUACGUUCCCGGGCCUUGUACACACCGCCCGUCACACCAUGGGAGUGGGUUGCAAAAGAAGUAGGUAGCUUAACCUUCGGGAGGGCGCUUACCACUUUGUGAUUCAUGACUGGGGUG
rnacentral:rRNA from 1 species